rnacentral:misc_RNA from 1 species
GAUGAAGAACGUAGCGAAAUGCGAUAAGUAGUGUGUAUUGCAGAAUUCAGUGAAUCAUCGAAUCUUUGAACGCACAUUGCGCCCCUUGGUAUUCCAUGGGGCAUGCCUGUUCGAGCGUCAUUUGUACCUUCAAGCUUUGCUUGGUGUUGGGUGUUUGUCUCGCCUCUGCGUGUAGACUCGCCUCAAAACAAUUGGCAGCCGGCGUAUUGAUUUCGGAGCGCAGUACAUCUCGCGCUUUGCACUCAUAACGACGACGUCCAAAAGUACAUUUUUACACUCUUGACCUCGGAUCAGGUAGGGAUACCCGCUGAACUUAAGCAUAUCAUAAGCGGAGGA